ACUCCUACGGGAGGCAGCAGUGGGGAAUAUUGCACAAUGGGCGCAAGCCUGAUGCAGCCAUGCCGCGUGUGUGAAGAAGGCCUUCGGGUUGUAAGCANCUUUCAUGUCGUGAGGAAGGUAGUGUAGUUAAUAGCUGCAUUAUUUGACGUUAGCGACAGAAGAAGCACCGGCUAACUCCGUGCCAGCAGCCGCGGUAAUACGGAGGGUGCGAGCGUUAAUCGGAAUUACUGGGCGUAAAGCGCAUGCAGGUGGUUUGUUAAGUCAGAUGUGAAAGCCGGGCGUCAACCUCGGAAUUGCAUUUGAAACUGGCAGACUAGAGUACUGUAGA
rnacentral:rRNA from 1 species